UCUUUAUUUAGACAGGGAGUCAACGCUGAGACCAAGGUCUCUUUAUUUAGACAGGGAGUCAAUGCUGAGACCAAGGUGUCUUUAUUCAGACAGGGAGUCAAUGCUGAGACCAAGGUGUCUUUAUUUAGACAGGGAGUCAAUGCUGAGACCAAGGUGUCUUUAUUUAGACAGGGAGUCAAUGCUGAGACCAAGGUGUCUUUAUUUAGACCGGGAGUCAAUGCUGAGACCAAGGUCUAUUUAGACAGGGAGUCAAUGCUGAGACCAAGGUCUCUUUAUUUAGACAGGGAGUCAAUGCUGAGACCAAGGUGCCUUUAUUUAGACAGGGAGUCAAUGCUGAGACCAAGGUGUCUUUAUUCAGACAGGGAGUCAAUGCUGACAUGUAGAAGUGGUUGUAGAGCGUGCAGACAGGGUUUUAGACCAUGUAAAUGUGGUUGUAGCACGAGUAGAUGUGGUGGUAGUAUGUGUAAAUGUGGUUGUAGAGCGUGCAGACAGGGUUUUAGACCAUGUAAAUGUGGUUGUAGCACGAGUAGAUGUGGUGGUAGUAUGUGUAAAUGUGGUUGUAGGACGUGCAGGAUGAGUAGAUGUGGUUUUAGGAUGUGUAGAUGGGGUUGUAGGAUGUGUAGAUGGGGUUGGAGGACGUGUAGAUGUGUAGAUGGGGUUGGAUGACGUGUAGAUGGGGUUGGAGGACGUGUAGAUGGGUUUGGAGGACGUGUAGAUGGGGUUGGAUGACGUGUAGAUGGGGUUGGAUGACGUGUAGAUGGGGUUGUAGGACGUGUAGAUGGGGUUGUAGGACGUGUAGAUGGGGUUGUAGGACGUGUAGAUGGGGUUGUAGGACGUGUAGAUGGGGUUGUAUGACGUGUAGAUGGGGUUGGAGGACGUGUAGAUGGGGUUGUAGG
ensembl:lncRNA